UACCAGCACCCCGAGUGGUCGGGACGAUUAUUGGGCCUAAAGCAUCCGUAGCCGGUCCUGCAAGUCUUCCGUUAAAUCCAGCUGCUCAACAGAUGGGCUGCGGGGGAUACUACAUGGCUAGGAGGCGGGAGAGGCAAGCGGUACUUUAUGGGUAGGGGUAAAAUCCGUUGAUCCAUAGAAGACCACCAGUGGCGAAGGCGGCUUGCCAGAACGCGCUCGAACGGUGAGGGAGUGAAAAGCUGGGGGGAGACCAAA
rnacentral:rRNA from 1 species